rnacentral:lncRNA from 1 species
CUCACUGCUAUUUGUUCCCAGUUGACUUGUUGUAACAAGUUUGAAACAAGCUGUUAAUUACUACUAAUUGUAACAAGCUUGAUGGCAUUAUCAGACUUUGUUCUUACAAGUCUGAUACAGGAUAGGAAUAUGAGUUCAACAUUUCUUACAGUGAUAUAUUUUUUCAGUGUCCACCAUGCAAGGCUUUCACACCCAUGCUUUGUGACACGUACAAAGCAAUCAACAAAGAUGAGAAGAAAUUUGAGAUUAUAUUUGUAAGCUCGGACCAAAACGAAGAAGCAUUCAAAGCAUAUUUUGCUGAAAUGCCUUUCCUUGCCUUGCCAUAUGAAAAUGCAAUCAAGGAUGACUUGAGUGAUUAUUUUGAGGUUGAAGG